rnacentral:misc_RNA from 1 species
GAUGAAGAACGCAGCGAAAUGCGAUACGUAAUGUGAAUUGCAGAAUUCAGUGAAUCAUCGAAUCUUUGAACGCACAUUGCGCCCGCCAGUAUUCUGGCGGGCAUGCCUGUUCGAGCGUCAUUUCAACCCUCAAGCCCAGCUUGGUGUUGGGGAUCGGCACAGGCGCCCUCGGGCGCCCGCCGUCCCCUAAAUCUAGUGGCGGUCCCGCUGCAGCCUCCUCUGCGUAGUAGUUUUCUCCUCGCAAGGGCAGCUCGGUGGCGACCUCGCCGUAAAACCCCCAACUUCUGAAAGGUUGACCUCGAAUCAGGUAGGAAUACCCGCUGAACUUAAGCAUAUCAAUAAGCGGAGGA